UACGAAGGGGGCUAGCGUUGCUCGGAAUCACUGGGCGUAAAGCGCACGUAGGCGGAUUCUUAAGUCAGGGGUGAAAUCCUGGAGCUCAACUCCAGAACUGCCUUUGAUACUGGGAAUCUCGAGUCCGGGAGAGGUGAGUGGAACUGCGAGUGUAGAGGUGAAAUUCGUAGAUAUUCGGCAAGAACACCAGUGGCGAAGGCGGCUCACUGGCCCGGUACUGACGCUGAGGUGCGAAAGCGUGGGGAGCAAACAGG
rnacentral:rRNA from 1 species